CAGCACCUCAAGUGGUCAGGAUGAUUAUUGGGCCUAAAGCAUCCGUAGCCGGCGCUGUAAGUUUUCGGUUAAAUCUGUACGCUCAACGUACAGGCUGCCGGGAAUACUGCAGCGCUAGGGAGUGGGAGAGGUAGACGGUACUCGGUAGGAAGGGGUAAAAUCCUUUGAUCUAUUGAUGACCACCUGUAGCGAAGGCGGUCUACCAGAACACGUCCGACGGUGAGGGAUGAAAGCUGGGGGAGCAAACCGGAUUAGAUACCCGAGUAGUCC
rnacentral:rRNA from 1 species